GCUCCCAUGGCGCAGUGGUAGCGCUUUGUACUUAUGUGGAUACAUUGUGUAUUGCAUGAUUAUGCAAUGGUCGUGAGUUCGAUCCUCACUGGGAGCA
rfam:Punctularia strigosozonata HHB-11173 SS5 unplaced genomic scaffold PTNSTscaffold_9, whole genome shotgun sequence.